AAAGAUUAAAGUCGCUGAAAGAGAGGCUCUUGCCCGAUUAGAUAGUUGGUGAGGUAAAGGCUCACCAAGUCGAAGAUCGGUAGCCGGUUUGGAAGAACGGUCGGCCGCGAUGAAACUGAGACACGGUUCAUACUCCUACGGGAGGCAGCAGGGAGGAAUUUUGGACAAUGAAGGAAACUUUGAUCCAGUGAUACUGCGUGAAUGAUGAAGGCCUAUGGGUCGUAAAAUUCUUUUAAUAGCUAAGAUAAUGACGUUAACUAUUGAAUAAAUUCUGUCUAAUUCU
rnacentral:rRNA from 1 species